CUGCUCAGUGUGGUGCGGGCCUUCUCUGGGGCCCUGGAGUUCCCACUGACCUUCAGCCCCGCCAGUUGCAUCUGCUGUUCCCACUGCAGACUCUCAUGCUAGUCAGUUCCUGCCUGGGGUCACCAGACUGCUUCGAAGUCAGGAAGAACAUGGUGGGGACGGUGACUUGAGUUUCCUGGACCACAGUGCAGCUGUUCCCUUCUUCCCUCUGUCCUUGCUCAGCACGGUCACAACGACUCUCCAAAUCAUGAUGCUCAAAACGCCACAUCUAAAAAGAACAUCCGGAACAGGAGACGCACAGUUCCAACAGUUAUUGUAUACAUCACUGACCAUAUUAACGACUCCACAAAAUCAAUCCUGGGUCCACCAAAUAUUGUGUUACCUGAAGACUAACUUAUAAAAUUAAACUUCAACAACAUGAAUAUACAACAAAUGAACAGAGAGAAAAGAUCAAAUUGGUGAGCAUAUAAUGUAAAUGUGUACGUAUUACAAAGAAAAAAUAUAGAAAGCUACUACCAUAUCUGUUUCUGUAAUUUGUCAUGAGGCCGUAAUACCAUUAAAAUUUUUAAAUUAAUUAAUUAAUUUUUCACCACACUUCUUCUGCUUUGUGGAUUCAGGCCGUGAUGGAUACAAUGACUUCUUCCUUUCAUUAUCCCCUCCAUAUUUCUCCUGCCCUCAUCAAGAACCUCAAUUCAUCUCAGGUCUUUGUAUUUUUGAGUGCCCUAAACCUCCAUUCCCAAAGGACUAAGUCCUCAAUCAUCCUGCCGUCUUUUAGGUUAGUACCUUUCCCUUAAA